rnacentral:rRNA from 1 species
GAUGAACGCUGGCGGCGUGCCUAAUACAUGCAAGUCGAGCGAACAGACGAGGAGCUUGCUCCUCUGACGUUAGCGGCGGACGGGUGAGUAACACGUGGAUAACCUACCUAUAAGACUGGGAUAACUUCGGGAAACCGGAGCUAAUACCGGAUAAUAUAUUGAACCGCAUGGUUCAAUAGUGAAAGACGGUUUUGCUGUCACUUAUAGAUGGAUCCGCGCCGCAUUAGCUAGUUGGUAAGGUAACGGCUUACCAAGGCAACGAUGCGUAGCCGACCUGAGAGGGUGAUCGGCCACACUGGAACUGAGACACGGUCCAGACUCCUACGGGAGGCAGCAGUAGGGUAUCUUCCGCAAUGGGCGAAAGCCUGACGGAGCAACGCCGCGUGAGUGAUGAAGGUCUUCGGAUCGUAAAACUCUGUUAUUAGGGAAGAACAAAUGUGUAAGUAACUAUGCACGUCUUGACGGUACCUAAUCAGAAAGCCACGGCUAUCUACG